ensembl:lncRNA
UACAUCACCUAUACAUGCUGCUCUGUACAUCACCUAUACAUGCUACUCUGUACAUCACCUAUACAUGCUGCUCUGUACAUCACCUAUACAUGCUGUUCUGUACAUCACCAAUACAUGCUGCUCUGUACAUCACCUAUACAUGCUGCUCUAUACACCACCUAUACAUCACCUAUACAUGCUGCUCUGUACAUCACCUAUACAUGCUACUCUGUACAUCACCUAUACAUCACCUAUACAUGCUACUCUGUACAUCACCUAUACAUCACCUAUACAUGCUGCUCUAUACAUCACCUAUACAUGCUGCUCUGUACAUCACCUAUACAUGCUGCUCUGUACAUCACCUGUACAUGCUGUUCUGUACAUCACCAAUACAUGCUGCUCUGUACAUCACCUAUACAUGCUGCUCUAUACAUCACCUAUACAUCACCUAUACAUGCUGCUCUGUACAUCACCUAUACAUGCUGCUCUGUACAUCACCUAUACAUCACCUAUACAUGCUGCUCUGUACAUCACCUAUACAUGCUGCUCUGUACAUCACCUAUACAUGCUGCUCUGUACAUCACCUAUACAUGCUACUCUGUACAUCACCUAUACAUGCUGCUCUGUACAUCACCUAUACAUCAGCUAUACAUGCUGCUCUGUACAUCACCAAUACAUGCUGCUCUGUACAUCACCUAUACAUGCUGCUCUAUACAUCACCUAUACAUCACCUAUACAUGCUGCUCUGUACAUCACCUAUACAUGCUACUCUGUACAUCACCUAUACAUCACCUAUACAUGCUACUCUGUACAUCACCUAUACAUCACCUAUACAUGCUGCUCUGUACAUCACCUAUACAUCACCCAUACAUGCUGCUCUGUACAUCACCUAUACAUGCUGCUCUGUACAUCACCUAUACAUGCUGCUCUGUACAUCACCUAUACAUGCUGCUCUAUACAUCACCUAUACAUCACCUAUACAUGCUGCUCUGUACAUCACCUAUACAUGCUGCUCUGUACAUCACCUAUACAUGCUGCUCUGUACAUCACCUAUACAUGCUACUCUGUACAUCACCUAUACAUGCUGCUCUGUACAUCACCUAUACAUGCUGCUCUGUACAUCACCUAUACAUGCUGCUCUGUACAUCACCUAUACAUGCUGCUCUGUACAUCACCUAUACAUGCUGCUCUGUACAUCACCAAUACAUGCUGCUCUGUACAUCACCUAUACAUCACCUAUACAUGCUGCUCUGUACAUCACCUAUACAUGCUACUCUGUACAUCACCUAUACAUCCUACUCUGUACAUCACCUAUACAUCACCUAUACAUGCUACUCUGUACAUCACCUAUACAUCACCUAUACAUGCUGCUCUAUACAUCACCUAUACAUCACCUAUACAUGCUACUCUGUACAUCACCUAUACAUCACCUAUACAUGCUGCUCUGUACAUCACCUAUACAUGCUGCUCUGUACAUCACCUAUACAUGCUGCUCUGUACAUCACCUAUACAUGCUGCUCUGUACAUCACCUAUACAUGCUGCUCUAUACAUCACCUAUACAUGCUGCUCUGUACAUCACCUAUACAUGCUGCUCUAUACAUCACCUAUACAUGCUGCUCUGUACAUCACCUAUACAUGCUGCUCUGUACAUCACCUAUACAUGCUGCUCUAUACAUCACCUAUACAUCACCUAUACAUGCUGCUCUGUACAUCACCAAUACAUGCUGCUCUGUACAUCACCUAUACAUGCUACUCUGUACAUCACCUAUACAUGCUACUCUGUACAUCACCUAUACAUGCUACUCUGUACAUCACCUAUACAUGCUGCUCUGUACAUCACCUAUACAUGCUGCUCUGUACAUCACCUAUACAUGCUGCUCUGUACAUCACCUAUACAUGCUGCUCUGUACAUCACCUAUACAUCACCUAUACAUGCUGCUCUAUACAUCACCAAUACAUCACCUAUACAUGCUGCUCUGUACAUAACCAAUACAUGCUGCUCUGUACAUCACCUAUACAUGCUACUCUGUACAUCACCUAUACAUGCUACUCUGUACAUCAUCUAUACAUGCUGCUCUGUACAUCACCUAUACAUCACCUAUACAUGCUGCUCUGUACAUCACCUAUACAUCACCUAUACAUGCUGCUCUGUACAUCACCUAUACAUCACCUAUACAUGCUACUCUGUACAUCACCUAUACAUGCUACUCUGUACAUCACCUAUACAUGCUACUCUGUACAUCACCUAUACAUGCUGCUCUGUACAUCACCUAUACAUGCUGCUCUGUACAUCACCUAUACAUGCUGCUCUGUACAUCACCUAUACAUGCUGCUCUGUACAUCACCUAUACAUCACCUAUACAUGCUGCUCUAUACAUCACCAAUACAUCACCUAUACAUGCUGCUCUGUACAUCACCAAUACAUGCUGCUCUGUACAUCACCUAUACAUGCUACUCUGUACAUCACCUAUACAUGCUACUCUGUACAUCAUCUAUACAUGCUGCUCUGUACAUCACCUAUACAUCACCUAUACAUGCUGCUCUGUACAUCACCUAUACAUCACCUAUACAUGCUGCUCUGUACAUCACCUAUACAUCACCUAUACAUGCUGCUCUGUACAUCACCUAUACAUGCUGCUCUGUACAUCACCUAUACAUGCUACUCUGCACAUCACCUAUACAUGCUGCUCUGUACAUCACCUAUACAUCACCUAUACAUGCUGCUCUGCACAUCACCUAUACAUGCUGCUCUGUACAUCACCUAUACAUGCUGCUCUGUACAUCACCUAUACAUGCUACUCUGUACAUCACCUAUACAUGCUGCUCUGUACAUCACCUAUACAUGCUGCUCUGUACAUCACCAAUACAUCACCUAUACAUGCUGCUCUGUACAUCACCUAUACAUGCUGCUCUGUACAUCACCUAUACAUGCUGCUCUGUACAUCACCUAUACAUGCUACUCUGUACAUCACCUAUACAUGCUGCUCUGUACAUCACCUAUACAUGCUGUUCUGUACAUCACCAAUACAUGCUGCUCUGUACAUCACCUAUACAUGCUGCUCUAUACACCACCUAUACAUCACCUAUACAUGCUGCUCUGUACAUCACCUAUACAUGCUACUCUGUACAUCACCUAUACAUCACCUAUACAUGCUGCUCU